GAUCCUGGCUCAGGAUGAACGCUAGCUACAGGCUUAACACAUGCAAGUCGAGGGGCAUCAUGUCGGUGCUUGCAACCGAUGAUGGCGACCGGCGCACGGGUGAGUAACGCGUAUCCAACUCCCCUUAGUAGGGCAUAGCCCGUAGAAAUGCGGAUUAACACCCUAUGUUCUUCAUGGAUGGCAUCUGACGUGAAGCAAAGUUUACGCUAAGGGAUGGGGAUGCGUCUGAUUAGGUUGCAGGCGGGGUAACGGCCCACCUGGCCGACGAUCAGUAGGGGUUCUGAGAGGAAGGUCCCCCACAUUGGAACUGAGACACGGUCCAAACUCCUACGGGAGGCAGCAGUGAGGAAUAUUGGUCAAUGGGCGCGAGCCUGAACCAGCCAAGUAGCGUGCAGGAUGACGGCCCUAUGGGUUGUAAACUGUCUUUUAUCAGGGGAUAAAGUCGGCUACGCGUAGCCGUUUGUAGGUACCUGAUGAAUAAGGACCGGCUAAUUCCGUGCCAGCAGCCGC
rnacentral:rRNA from 1 species